UUGGAUCCUUUAUAUAUUACAAAAAAAACAUUCAAAAACACUUAGAAUAGUGAAUGCACACCAUUAAUGACGCAUUUGAAUGUCAAUCUUUUGUGUUCAGACUACUGGAGCAGGGCUUGAACCGGCAACUUCUGACUUACUAGAAAGUUUCACUGUAAAUUGGAGCUUCUAUCUUUAACUUUCAGGCUCUCAGGCUCAAACCCAGCAACUUCCUAAUUGGGGAGAUAGUCUCUAUUCACUCACGUGUACUCCCACUCAAAACCAGACGUCAUUACGCUUGACAAAAAAAUAUUUAGCGUAAGGAGCCCAUUCCUAAACAGUUCAACUACAACUCCCAGAAGGCAUCGUGCAUAGCACGUCUGCGCAGUACAGACGAUUGGUCGGCCCCGCCCCCGCCCCCGCCCCCCCAAGUGCACCAUUCGGGGCGGGGGCCAACGGCAAAGAGGUGGAGGCGACGGAUUGGCCGUUAACCGGCAGGUGGACCUGUUAGAAGCAACGCUUUCGUGACAAUCAAUGCGGAACGUGACUGUGCUGGCGGCGGCCUGCUUUUGUGUCCUCGCCAUCAUUAUCCCUUUCGGAUUGCAGCCUGGCCGCGAUCCCGGUAGCCUGUUCCCGUUUCGAGAGUGGACAACAGAUCAGUUUGAUAUUGUGAUUGGUAUACUGUCAGCUCGACACCACCAUGGGUUACGUAAUGCACUCAGAAAUACCUGGCUGGGGCAUUUACAGCAUCUGAACCAGCGUGUCCUUGCAAAGUUUAUAAUUGGGACUUAUGGCUGCAACAUUCCUGAUGAGGACAGAGAGGAUCCCUACUCCUGUCAAUUGCUCAACUUUACAAACCCAGUUAUAGGCCAGGAAAUUGAAGCUGUCAGUCUGUUCGGAACUCCUGCUUCAACAUUGCUGGGAAGCAAGAUUUCAAAGAUUGACUUCCGCGUUCUCCAUCCCAUUAUUAUUACAAGAGUUGGGGUAUUCCAUGAUCAGAGAGGAGCAGGUUUUCAUCAGAAUCUCACUGUUCGACUCUACCAAACCACGCUGGAGGAGGUGAUUGCCAGUGCCCGCUUCAGUCCGCUCAGCUCGGGAGUACAAGUGAACCAACUGUGGUAUAAACCAGUGGAAAGAUUCCUUUUACCUAAGGGCUUUGAAGGCACCAUUGCUUGGGAGAGCCAAGACUCUCAGUACCUCAUUACCACAAACCUCACUGAUGUCGUCCUUGACAGUGGAGGAGGUGUUCUUAGAUUCUCUGCAGCUCAGCUUCAGGCAGAGAAGCAGGUGAUUCAGGAUGGUUUUGGACAGAAUGUGGCUGCUGUGGCUGGGGGCUUUACCUACACCAUUCAUGAUGGUGCUACACUCUUGGAAAGCCUCACCACUAGGCCCAAGCGGUUUGAUAUCCACAAAAAUAAGCUCAGGGAAGAAGAUGCGGCCUUACAAAAAGAAAGCCAAACCUAUCAAGAUAUUGUUUUUGUAGAUGUAAUAGACACAUACAGAAAUGUGCCACACAAGUUGCUUCAGUUUUAUCAGUGGUCUGUGGAGACAACGAGUUUCAAGCUGCUACUAAAAACGGAUGAUGAUUGUUAUGUCGAUGUGGAGGCAGUACUAGAGAGAGCCGGAGAGAGACUGGGAGCUACGAAUGUGUGGUGGGGAAAUUUCAGGCAGAAUUGGGCAGUGGAUGGAAGCGGGAAGUGGAUGGAACUGGAAUACCCAAGUCUGGUCUAUCCGGAUUUUGCCUGUGGUUCUGGUUAUGUCGUCUCUCACAACUUAAUUCAAUGGCUGGCAGAGAACGCCAAGACACUAAAAGUCUAUCAGGUGUUGGGCACUUUGUGGGUUUUAACUGGCUUGUGUAUAUCGUGGUUGAAAAGUAUUCACUGGUUACUUGAAUCCAUUUUACUAAUAGAGCCAUUUUUUGUCUUAGCAAUUCCUAAGGUCCGUAUUGUUCCUCUUUUGGUUGCAUAAUAUAAUAAAAGUUGUUAAUUAAUCAUAGCCAUGAAUCUCUAUCAGGUGCUUUACAACUGACUCAGGCAGGAGAGCACUAGUUAAAAGCUAUGGGAACCAGAGGUUCAGAGUCAUCUGGUCUUUUCAAACAUGUCACAUAAGAAAUAUGAGCUAAAGUGGACUAUAUUACCCCUUGGAUCCCAAUAUGCAAUAAAAUAAUGGCUGAUCUUCUCCAUAAACUCCAUUUUCCAAAGGGUGUGAGACUAAUUGUGUGUUGCUAACUACAGCUAUGGACAGGGUAGAUGGUAAGAGUCUCCAAUGCUUUUAGCAACAAAUGACUGAACAGGAAUAUCUCCUGCUCUUGCCACUUGUCAGUGGUGUAUUGGAAGGAUUUGCAGAAGGAUACUUAACCUAUUUGGCCACAACAUAAACACAUGUUCCUUGGCUAUCAUGCCAUGGGUGGGGUCUCAGACCUGGAGAUUAUGGCCUCAGAAGUAGGGAUGCUACUUGCUGUAUUAUAAAACCUCCUUCCAGACCAUAUCUGACUGUCAUAGUCAAUAAGAAAAUGAAAGGUGCUAAAAUGGUAAAGAACUUUGAAUUGAGAGAUUGAAGUCUGAAAUGUUUUAGUAGUACAAGAAAAAACCUUGCUGUCACUGCAUUUCUUGCAUGGUAUAUGGGAACGAGCAACAUCCCUUGCAUCUUACCUUUUCAGAUCAAUAAUCUAAGGAACAUGUUCUCUAUGGACAGUUUUUCUUCUAGUUAAGAUCUAACGCAGGCUGUUGCAUUUGUGCCAUCUCAGCAUAUGGGCAAGACCAACAUAUUAUUGCCUAUCUCUAGUUGCCCUUGAAGGUGAAGAUGUCAGCAUGGGUAUUUG